rnacentral:rRNA from 1 species
CCUACGGGAGGCUGCAGUGGGGAAUAUUGCGCAAUGGGCGAAAGCCUGACGCAGCGACGCCGCGUGAGGGAUGAAGGCUUUCGGGUUGUAAACUUCUUUUCUCAGGGACGAAGAAAGUGACGGUACCUGAGGAAUAAGCCACGGCUAACUACGUGCCAGCAGCCGCGGUAAUACGUAGGUGGCAAGCGUUAUCCGGAUUUACUGGGUGUAAAGGGGGCGCAGACGGCGAUGCAAGCCAGGAGUGAAAGCCCGGGGCCCAACCCCGGGACUGCUCUUGGAACUGCGUGGCUAGAGUGCAGGAGGGGCAGGCGGAAUUCCUGGUGUAGCGGUGAAAUGCGUAGAUAUCAGGAGGAACACCGGUGGCGAAGGCGGCCUGCUGGACUGCAACUGACGUUGAGGCCCGAAAGCGUGGGGAGCAAACAGGAUUAGAUACCCGGGUAGUC